rnacentral:rRNA from 1 species
GUGUCAGCCGCCGCGGUAAUACGUAGGAUCCGAGCGUUAUCCGAAUUUACUGGGCGUAAAGCGCGUGCAGGCGGUUUGGUAAGUUGGAUGUGAAAGCUCCCGGCUCAACUGGGAGAGGCCGUUCAAUACUGCCAGACUUGAGGACGGUAGAGGGAGGUAGAAUUCCCGGUGUAGUAGUGAAAUGCGUAGAUAUCGGGAGGAAUACCAGUGGCGAAGGCGGCCUCCUGGACCGUUCCUGACGCUCAGACGCGAAAGCUAGGGGAGCGAACGGGAUUAGAAACCCCGGUAGUCCUAGCUGUAAACGAUGCGAACUUGGUGUUGGUGGGGUAAAAUCCGCCGGUGCCGAAGCUAACGCGAUAAGUUCGCCGCCUGGGGACUACGGCCGCAAGGUUAAA